CUAUUACUCCCUUCGUCCGGAAAUACUUGUCAUCAAAAAGGAUUAGAUACAUCUCCUUUUAUCCAUUUUGAUGAGAAGUAUUUCCGGACGGAGGGAGUACUAU
rnacentral:pre_miRNA from 1 species